ensembl:lncRNA novel transcript
GUUUCCAACGGUUGCAGUAGCUGACUAGUCAGUGGCUUCAGCAACACACAUUUAUUCUCCUAUAGCCCUGGAGGUCAGAAGCUCCGAUCCAGGUGUUGGCUGGGUUCCACUCCUCCUGGAGGCGCUAGGGGAGGAUCUGUGUCCCUCUUACCAUUUCUAGGAUCCGCUGCACCCCUUGGCUCAGGCCUCUCUUCCAUCUUCAAAGUCAGCAGCCUCUCCUCCCCUCUGACCUUGGCUUCCUCUGCCCGACUCUGACCCCUUGCCUUCCUCUUACAAGGACCCUGUGAUGACCUGGCGCCCACCCAGCUAAUCCAGGGAGGAGAAGAGAAUACUGAGCGUCUUUUCGUUUCUGCUCUGCCAGUAGUUUACAGCCAGAGGCAAAGCAAACCAAGAACACAGAGCCAUCUACAGGGAAAAAUCCUGGGUAACUACUUCUUCUCAGAAAAGCCCAUCACCAUCUCCACGCUCAAGAGAAUAGUGCUGGACCCCUACCUCACACCAUGUACCAAAACUAACUCAGAACAGACCAACAACCCUAAUGUAACAGCAAAAAAUAUAGAACUCUCAGACAAAAACCCAGGGGAAAAGCUUGACAACAUUGCUUUUGGCAGUGAUUUCUAGGAUAUGACACCAAAAGCACAAGCAGCAACAGAAAAAAACAUUAAAUUUAAACCAUCUGUGCACCAAGGACACUGAACAGUGAAAACACAACCAUGAAAUGGGAGAAGAAGUGUCCGUGACAGUCGCUGUCAUGGAAGUCACCUCCCCAGCACCACAAGGGAGAGCCAUCCUUCCUGCAGGGCGGCCACGUGGCCACCUAGGCUGGUCCCGGGAGACCUUGGACCCAGGCUGGUGCCUGCCCCAGCUCCUGUCCCGAGACGUGGCUGAAGGUGUGGAACUGCAGGGUGCUAUGGCAAUUGUUUAGCUUUGCGAGGAAUCACCAGACCAUUUCCCACAGCAGCUGCACCAUUUCACACUCCCAAAAGGAAUGUGUGCCGAGCGGGUGCUGUUUCAAGCUGCUAAGUUUCUGGAAACCCGAGUGAAGGCUGAGUGCCCCAUGAGGGACCCGGGCUCUGACACAGACAGACUGUCCCGGCUGGAGUCCAGCUCCUGGACGACCUGGGUCUCCCCGUUCUGCACUGGUAUCGCGCGGUGAGGCGGCGCUGAUCAGAACCUCAAAAGACCUGACCCCGAACACCGUCAUCCCAAAUCCUGAGCUCCUGAAAGAUCAAAACCUAACAUGUUGGUGUUCUGACCAGUUUCUCUGUGAAUGGUUCAUCUGCACAUAACUCAUAUCCACGUGACUGAAUGAGCACACCUGUGUGUCUGUGCUGGAGAAAAUGUUAUGAUCACCGACUUUAUUGGGAUGUCAGCAUUCAGAACUGUGUCCCAGGAUCGUGGCCCAGACCCACAGGGCAGGGGCGUGCACUUUUGAGGGUUCUGAAGACGACUCAACAGGGUGCCUGACCUGCUGGUAAGGACUCAGGAGACCUCACCUGUCCUCGUCACACUCAUGGAAGGGGACUCCAGAUCCCUGGCGUAGCUGGUCUGGGAACUGGGGAGGGAUGGGCAGUGCCCGGUAUAGGGUGCAACCUCCAGUGCCCACAUUAGCACGUCUGUUGCUGUGAGAUUCUAUCCUGUGGACACCUGUGGCUGUAACACACACCUUCCCACUGCUGUCACAGGAGUGAUACUCUUUCCGAUUCUAACAUCAGUGUGUGCACAUUUUGGGAAAACCAGCAAGUACAGAAGAAGAAUUUAGGCCGGGCCCAGUGGCUCACGCCUGGAAUCCCAGCACUUCGGGAAGUCAAGGCAGGAGGAUCGCUGGAGGCCAGGAGUUUGAGAUCAGCCCGGGCAACAUAGUGAGACCUCAUCUCUAUUUAAGAAAGAAAAAGACCACUGGUCCUCCCAGUGUUUACAAGAUUUUUCCAUUAAAACAGGAGGGAUCAUAAUGAGCGGCCUAACAAAGACAUUUAAAGACACGCCAAGAAGGGGCGCAGACAGGAGUCCUGAGAUGCAGUCAUGGGAACCCGCACCUGUUUUCCCGCCCUGGGCACCCAGCGUGGACAGGCUGGCCGGUGCCAGGGUGAGCAGGGCAGGCUGAGGUCUCCAGUGGGUGGGGACAGGUUAGGGGGCAGCAAUUCAGUGACCCUGUCCAGGACUGGGUCCCUUGCAGAAGGUGAGGUCAGCCAGGGGUGGGGGUGGUGGCUGUGGAAUCCGUUGUCUGGUCUAUAGGGGGUCCCCCUACCGAAGCCCUAACCCUCUCCCCUUCACCACCCCAGUGAUCUCCUGGCCCAGGCUGCUGCCUCCAGCAGCUCCCCAGCCCCCAGGACAGUCCUUCAGGACUCUAGGGGGAGUCCCGUCUACAAGGACGGCUCACCAGUCUCCCGCCACAGCCAGUGAGGAUGGGGUCCUGCAGCCGAAGUGGUGUGUGCCCAGUGUGGUGUCCCUGGCAGGCUGGGAGGGUGCCCCCAGCUGCCAGUUAGUGAGGCUGGGUUAGCACGAGGGCAAGGAGCUUGGAUUCUGGGGCUGACAGCCUGAGCUCAACUCCAGCGCCCCAUCUUGCUGGGGCUCCUCCGCCUGGAGGCGGCUCCUCCACCUGCCUCUGCCUCCGUUUCUGCAGCAGUUGCCUGCCGGACUCCAGCCCGAGGCGGGGGCCACGGCUGACCCAGCUGGAGAACGCCCCACUGGCCCAGUCAGUGCUGUCCUCUGCACCUGAUGGCUUCUCUUGGCAGGGAGGGCUCCCCCGCCCCCGGGCUCUGUGCCAGCCAGAGGUUCCGCAGGAGCUGCUCACUUCCUCCCGCCGGCAGAGGCAGCCUGCGGGGCGGCUCCAACCUGGAGAAACCAAAAUCAGGGCAAGUCCCUGGCUGCUUCCCUGGAAAGCCCCGACGGAGUCCCCGCUCCUUCCCGCCGGUUCUCAGGGUGCUUUAUUUCAGAAGGGGAUUUCUUCCUCCUGAGAAUCUGAUGGCCACAGGGUGCCUGUCACAUGUCCACAUCGGGCCCUCCUGGCUGUCACCAACUUGUCCAACUGUCAGAGGUGUUUGAACCAGAGCGACUCCGUCUUGAAUAGGGGCUGGGUGGAAUGAGGCUGGGGCCUGCUGGACUGCGUUCCCGGGAGGGUAAGGCAUUCUUAGUCACAAGACAGGAGGUUGGCACAAGAUACAAGUCACGAAGACCUUGCCGAUAAAGCAGGUUGCAGUAAAGAAGUGGCCAAAUCCCACCAAAACCAAGAUGGUGACUAGAGUGACCUCUGGUCGUGCUCGCCACUCAUUAUACACAAAUUCUAAUGCAUUAGCUGCUAAGAGACACUCCCACCAGCGCCAUGUCCACAAAUGCCAUGGCAACGUCCGAAAGUUACCCUGCACGGUCUAAAAAGGAGAGGAAGCCUCAGUUCUGGGAAUUGACCACCCUUUCCCAGAAAAUUCAUGAAUAAUCCACUCCUUGUUUAACAUAUAAUCAAGAAAUGACCAAAAUAAGCAUAAGAAUAUUCAGCUGAGCAGCCCAGCCCUCCGCACUGCCUCUGGAGUAGCCAUUCUUUAUUCCUUUACUCU